rnacentral:lncRNA from 1 species
GGGGGGCACGUACAAAAAUAGAGGCGGGGGGUCCGGGGGGGGGAGUCCCUGCACCCCGGCCAAGGGAAGGGGUUGGGGGUGGUCAUUGGGGUGCGAGGGGGACAUGGGGGGGGGGGAGAUGAGCCCAGAGGUCCCCAAACCCCCCCCCCCCCUCCGCAAACCCUCCCUUGUGCUGGGGGGGGGGCAGCACUCAGCUGUGCCCCUCACCCCGCGUCAGGCCGGGGCCCCUGGACAAAGUGCGUCAGUGCUGGGGGGCACCGGGCCCCCCGGGGCGGGGGGGUCCCCUGGGUGCAGGGGUCCCCGGGAUGGGGGUUCCGGGGUUCGGGGUCCCCGUCCCUCACUGGCCGCCUGGCUCCAGCUUGUAAGAGAGCUCGAAGAGCAGGUUCUGGUUGUCGAUGACGCGGAGCUGCCGCACGUAAGCCUUGGUCUGCAGCUGGCUCGGGGACGCCUCCAGCUCCAGAGCGGGCGGCUCCGGUACUUCCGGAUGGUUCUCACUUUCUCGGCGAUGCAGUGCUGUUUCUCCACAUUGACCAGCCCAUCCAGGAGGGUUUUGCUGCCUUCGUGCAGGAAGGUCAGAUCUGGGGGUGAGCAGGGGGGUGACGGGGGGCCAAUGGGGCAGCGCCGGGACCGCGGCCCCCCCCAGGCACAGCCCGUGCCCCCCCCCCCACCUUUGAGGAUGAGCGGCACGAAGGGGAUGAGGGGGGGUUUCAUCUUGGCCAGCACCUCCCGGUACGUCUUGUGGUUCCUGCAGGGGUCCUGGGGGGGGGUUCCCAGGAGCACCCCACAUCUCCUUUACCUCCCAGGUGAGGCGCAGGCGGCUGAUGGCAGCGUUGUUGAGCCC